CUCAUGGUCCUGUCAAUCUGGAUCUGAAAUGUGUUGCUAGGUGAAGAUUCCAACUGCCUGGACAGAGGGCCAGUAUUUGAGUUUCUUCUCUGAAAAACACCCUGCUACUUACACCAAGGAAAUUAAUGCGGCUAAGGAAAACACACGACGGUGUAUUCAUCUCCUGUCUUUACAACAACCACCAACAGUAGCCAAUUCAGCUUAUAGUGUUGCUUCUCUGUGAUAGGCAAUUACUAACUAGGAACAUUCAUUUGCUCUUCUGGCAACCAAGGAGUUUGGACCCUUUUUGUCCUAAGGAAGAAAAGUGGCUAAGAGCAGAAUACCUGGAGCUGGCCCACUUCCACUGGAAUAUGGACUCCAGUGCUUAUAACUUUGGAUAAGGUUACCAUGCUUCAUCUGCCAAUGCAUUGAAAACUUUGAAUAUAAAUUAAUUCAACCACUGUAGAAGAUGGUGUGGUGAUUCCUCAAAGACCUAGAGGCAGAAAUACCAUUUGA